GAUGAACGCUGGCGGCAGGCCUAACACAUGCAAGUCGAACGAGCGGCGGACGGGUGAGUAAUGUCUGGGAAACUGCCUGAGGGAGGGGGAUCACUAUUGGAAACGGUAGCUAAUACCGCAUACCAUCGGAUGUGCCCAUAUGGGAUUAGCUAGUAGGUGGGGUAACGGCUCACCUAGGCGACGAUCCCUAGCUGGUCUGAGAGGAGGACCAGCCACACUGGAACUGAGACACGGGCCAGACUCCUACGGGAGGCAGCAGUGGGGAAUAUUGCACAAUGGGCGCAAGCCUGAUGCAGCCAUGCCGCGUGUAUGAAGAAGGCCUUCGGGUUGUAAAGUACUUUCAGUCGGGAGGCGUUACCCGCAGAAGAAGCACCGGCUAACUCCGUGCCAGCAGCCGCGGUAAUUC
rnacentral:rRNA from 1 species